rnacentral:lncRNA from 1 species
CAGGCAUCCAGGCUCUACCUACAGUGCAUAGUGGGGAGAAGAUAUAGGAACUACUACAAUACAAUGUAAUAAUUCCAUAAUGAAGCAAUGAGGAAGUAAGUGUAAAAAUCACUUUUUACCACCAUGAAGCAUGAACCAGCCAAGAAGUAAAGCCAAAAUAGAAGGAGGCAGAGUGAGGAAAAGGAGAGCAAGUCCUAGUUCAGCUGCACCUAAGUCAGUACAAGCAAUGAGCUUU